AGACCAGACUCCUACGGGAGGCAGCAGUGGGGGAUAUUGCACAAUGGGGGAAACCCUGAUGCAGCGACGCCGCGUGGGUGAAGAAGUAUUUCGGCAUGUAAAGCCCUAUCAGCAGGGAAGAAAGAAGACGGUACCUGACUAAGAAGCCCCGGCUAACUACGUGCCAGCAGCCGCGGUAAUACGUAGGGGGCGAGCGUUAUCCGGAUUCACUGGGCGUAAAGGGAGCGUAGACGGCCGUGCAAGCCAGGAGUGAAAGCCCGGGGCCCAACCCCGGGACUGCUCUUGGAACUGUGCGGCUGGAGUGCGGGAGGGGCAGGCGGAAUUCCUGGUGUAGCGGUGAAAUGCGUAGAUAUCAGGAGGAACACCGGCGGCGAAGGCGGCCUGCUGGACCGCGACUGACGUUGAGGCUCGAAAGCGUGGGGAGCAAACAGGAUUAGAUACCCGCGUA
rnacentral:rRNA from 1 species